UACGGAGGAUCCAAGCGUUAUCCGGAAUCAUUGGGUUUAAAGGGUCCGUAGGCGGUUUAGUAAGUCAGUGGUGAAAGCCCAUCGCUCAACGGUGGAACGGCCAUUGAUACUGCUGAACUUGAAUUAUUAGGAAGUAACUAGAAUAUGUAGUGUAGCGGUGAAAUGCUUAGAGAUUACAUGGAAUACCAAUUGCGAAGGCAGGUUACUACUAAUGGAUUGACGCUGAUGGACGAAAGCGUGGUAGCGAACAGG
rnacentral:rRNA from 1 species